AGUGAACGCUGGCGGUAGGCCUAACACAUGCAAGUCGAACGGCAGCACAGUAAGAGCUUGCUCUUACGGGUGGCGAGUGGCGGACGGGUGAGGAAUACAUCGGAAUCUACUUUUUCGUGGGGGAUAACGUAGGGAAACUUACGCUAAUACCGCAUACGACCUACGGGUGAAAGCAGGGGAUCUUCGGACCUUGCGCGAUUGAAUGAGCCGAUGUCGGUUUAGCUAGUUGGCGGGGUAAAGACCCACCAAGGCGACGAUCCGUAGCUGGUCUGAGAGGAUGGUCAGCCACACUGGAACUGAGACACGGUCCAGACUCCUACGGGAGGGAGCAGUGGGGAAUAUUGGACAAUGGGCGGAAGCCUGAUCCAGCCAUACCGCGUGGGUGAAGAAGGCCUUCGGGUUGUAAAGCCCUUUUGUUGGGAAAGAAAAGCAGCAGGUUAAUACCCCGCUGUUCUGACGGUACCCAAAGAAUAAGCACCGGCUAACUUCGUG
rnacentral:rRNA from 1 species